rnacentral:rRNA from 1 species
AGAAUCAACGCUGGCGGCGUGCCUAACACAUGCAAGUCGCACGAGAAAGGGUAGCAAUACCUGAGUAAAGUGGCGCACGGGUGAGUAACACGUGAAUGAUCUACCUCCGAGUGGGGAAUAACUGAGAGAAAUCUUAGCUAAUACCGCAUAACACUUACGAGUCAAAGCAGCAAUGCGCUUGGAGAGGAGUUCGCGGCCGAUUAGUUAGUUGGCGGGGUAAUGGCCCACCAAGACGAUGAUCGGUAUCCGGCCUGAGAGGGCGCACGGACACACUGGAACUGAAACACGGUCCAGACUCCUACGGGAGGCAGCAGUGGGGAAUUUUGCGCAAUGGGGGAAACCCUGACGCAGCAACGCCGCGUGGAGGAUGAAAUAUCUUGGUAUGUAAACUCCUUUCGAUGGGGAAGAUUAUGACGGUACCCAUAGAAGAAGCCCCGGCUAACUUCGCGCCAGCAGCCGC